rnacentral:lncRNA from 1 species
GCUGGUGCAAGUAUAAUACUAUAAUUUCUAUAUAUGUAAUAUGCUUCUCUGCUUAAAUAAUUUCCAGAUAAAAUAUCUGAUUUGUCUAAUACAGUAUGCUUUUUCCAGUGGCAUCUGCCGUCUGGUGAAUUUUUAUAUACCUGCUCGUGAAAAGUAGAGCUUCAGGACAGCAUAUGUACUACUAAUAAUUAAGUCUUGUAGUCUGCAGUGUUUAAUAAUAUACAGUUGCGAUUGUAGAAUCUGAUAACUUUAGUUUUGGUUUUGCCUCAUUUCUUAACAAAACUGAACCUGAUCAACUACUUUUCUAUUUUCGAUUUUGUUUUCAUGGUUGGUGAUCGUGCUAAUAUUCUGUCUAUGCUUGGCAGGAAACAUGAUGUGCCUAAGAAAUAUGAAAAGCACACCAGCUUGUUUCCUCCUCCAAAUGGAUAGGGAUGGAAUAUUAGGUUUACUUGGGAUAGGAUGAAUUUUCAGGCAGAAUCAGUCACCAAUCUGCGCCUGCCUCUACAUGACAGGUAAAUCACAAUAUAGAAGGGCAUCUGCCUAACUUUUUUAAUAAAUGAAUUUCCAACCAAAAAGGUGACACAAACAAACUCGAAAGGGAGUUGUUUGCACUGAGAAUUCAUCCUUUUAUGCCAACAGGAUGACACAUAUACUCUCGAAAGAGUAGACUCAAGUGCAUCUGGAGAGGAUGAAUGCGGAAUCAAAAUGAUAGCAUUCCUACUUUACCCCUUCAUUAAUAAGUGUUCAAAUGAUUUUGCAAUAUCCAGUACAGCCUACUUCUACGGGCAACACCAGAAACUGAGUACAUAAUUUUGCUGCUUAAAAUCAAUAGAGAAAUAAAAGGCAAAAAGAACAGCAAAAGGGGGAAAAAAGAACACCUAGCCUAUAAAAGAACAAAUCAACGGAACUUAAUUAAUCAAUAUAAGAACAACAGUGAAGGCCAAGCCAACACUGGAUGCACAUAAAACUUGAAAGGGUAUAAUACCAAGAGGUAUCAUCAACUAUGAGUACCUAGACAUAUUUGGCUCUAUGUGAACCACCGUACACAAGCCCCGCAAAAAUAUAACCUUUAACUGCUGAACAAGGUGAAGCAUCCAACAACUAGCCUGUCCCUAGAAUCCUAGAUGAGCAAUAUAGAUAAAAAGUCAAAUAAGUAGACAGCUGAAUUUGAUCAUGUGGAAGUUGGAUUUAUGCAAUGGAACCACACGGGUGUAAG